rnacentral:snoRNA from 14 species
UCCUCCUACAAAGGCGCACUUGCAUUGGUCUGCUUGCCUGUGCGUAAGAACUGGAGGAACAUUAAAAUGAAUGGUGGCUUUUUUUUUCUCUCACUGGCUGCAUCCGCAGUUUUCUCUUCACCAUUC